GCCGAAAUGGCGGAACUGGCAGACGCGCACGUUUCAGGGGCGUGUUCCCGUAAGGGAGUGUGGGUUCGACUCCCACUUUCGGCA
rnacentral:tRNA from 1 species